GCCAGCGGCGAAACACGUCGAAUGCACGAGUUCUCAAUGGAUCAUUGAAGUUAACCACCGUUGAGCGUGGUUAGUAUCCGGAUGAGCAACAUUUGGGUAAUCACGUGCUGCUAGUU
rnacentral:rRNA from 1 species